UCCCCGCUCCUCCUCCAAGGGACGCCAACAUUCGCCAGAGCCACCGCCUCCAGUCCCGCGCCAUCCACCAACCCUCCGCUGCCUCCCGCGCCAUCCGCCACCCGCUGAUCCACUCGGCCUCCACCGCUGCCGAUCCACUCAUUCUCCGCUGCCACUCAGAUUGGCCUCCGUCGCCGCCACCGGUCCUGCUUCCCCGCGGACAAAUACGAGCGUGAGCAGCCCCCCACCGGUCCAAGAAUGCGGGAACGGCCCCGCCGCUGCCGCCCGCCGGUCUACCUCUACUGCCCACACCAACCUCUCAAUCCCUCCUCUUCCCGCUGCAUCUCCCACGCCCCAGCCACCCCUCAUCCAGCGCGCCUCCGCGCCGGGACGCCGCUGCUCCUCAUUCAGUGCGGUGCUCCUCCGCAGCCGGCGGCCCUUGCUCCUUCGCCAGCGCGCCUCCACGCCGGGCCGCCGCCACUCCUCAUCCUCAGCCCUGUCGCCGCCUCGCGCGCCUCUGCGCCUGGCCACCGCGAGCGUGCGUCCGCUCCACGCCUCCCCGCGCACAAAGAGGCCGGCCCUCCACAUUUCCCACGACACGCCCGGGGAGCUCCUUGUGCGAAAAAUCCCUCAACAAUUGGCGCGCCGAUGACAUCCAUAUCCUUUCCAGUAAAUCAGGUUCAUAAAGUAGCAAGUAUUUAUGUCCAGUUAUAUGCUUAUACUAAUUUCUUCACUUCCCCAUGGUUUUACCUUCAUCCACAUGCAUCUCCCUUAGAAUUAGAGGAAUUUUCUCCGUUUAAUGGGAAAGCAACUGGUUGAUGUGAAAAUCUGUGAAAACAACAAUUGAAGUGGGGUAAAUCAUUGGGAUUUUGUGCUGUGUCUCUAUCGGAAGUUUGAAGUCGCCCCGUGUCCUUCGUUACAUAGGACUAUGCGUGUCUGUACAUUGGACAAAGAGGACAAUAUGAUGUUCACAAUGAUGCACAUGCUUCAGAUUGACUAUAUAGAUCCUAUGAUUAAAGAGGGACAAGUUUACUAUAUGGAGCUAUACGAGGUAUGAGCUUGAGGCGCUCUUAGUGGCGCGCCGUUGUGGGAGGCGCAUGCACUGUGGUGGGCCGAGGUGUGUACUACGUGGGAGAUGUGAGGAAAAUGCUCAAUUCCUAUUUUGAUUGAUGGUAUGAGAAACAAUAUAUGAAGACUUGGUUAUUUCUUUCAGUUGAGACGUCCAGUGAGAAUUUAGCACCGACAUAAUGAGAGUGGAAUUCAGCCCUGAAGAAAGCACUGUCAAAUGAACCGGCAUAUAUUUCAUCACUUGGUUCUUCUAUCUAUGAAGUAGUGUGAACCUGCAUUCCAAAUUUCUUCUACAUGAAGCAGAUAUGCUAUAUUGCUAUUUGAGAUGUGAUUCUCCUGUCCUUAGAAGCAUGUUCUUUGUCCUAAUUUUUUGUAUGCUCUAUGUUCUUCAGAGAUUAUACUUAAAACAGUCUUGAUUAGUGUUA